rnacentral:rRNA from 1 species
UAUACGGUGGAUGCCUUGGCAGUUAGAGGCGAUGAAGGACGUGUAAGUCUGCGAAAAGCUGUGGUGAGCUGACAAAACGCAUUUGAGCCACAGAUGUCCGAAUGGGGAAACCCACCUGUUUACAGGUAUCUGCACCUGAAUUCAUAGGGUGUAGAGGCGAACGAGGGGAACUGAAACAUCUAAGUACCCUUAGGAAAAGAAAUCAACCGAGAUUCCCUGAGUAGCGGCGAGCGAAAGGGGAGCAGCCGAUAAGCAAAGUAUUAGUGGAAUCUUCUGGAAAGUUGAGCGAUACCGGGUGAUAGCCCCGUACAUGAAGAUGCUUUGUUUACAUAUUAAGUAGGUCGGGACACGUGUUAUCUUGACUGAAGAUGGGGGGACCAUCCUCCAAGGCUAAAUACUCCUAUUUGACCGAUAGUGAACCAGUACCGUGAGGGAAAGGCGAAAAGAACCCCUGUGAGGGGAGUGAAAUAGAACCUGAAACCGUAUACGUACAAGCAGUGGGAGCCUUUAGGGGUGACUGCGUACCUUUUGUAUAAUGGGUCAGCGACUUAUAUUUAGUAGCAAGGUUAACCAUGUAGGGGAGCCGUAGCGAAAGCGAGUGUUAACUGCGCGUCUAGUUGCUAGGUAUAGACCCGAAACCCGGUGAUCUAGCCAUGGGCAGGUUGAAGGUUGAGUAACAUCAACUGGAGGACCGAACUCACUAACGUUGAAAAGUUAGGAGAUGACUUGUGGCUGGGGGUGAAAGGCCAAUCAAACCGGGAAAUAGCUCGUACUCCCCGAAAUGCAUUUAGGUGCAGCGUUGAUUUAUAGUUUUAUAGAGGUAGAGCUACUGAU